GACGAACGCUGGCGGCGUGCUUAACACAUGCAAGUCGAACGGAAAGGCCCUGCUUUUGUGGGGUGCUCGAGUGGCGAACGGGUGAGUAACACGUGAGUAACCUGCCCUUGACUUUGGGAUAACUUCAGGAAACUGGGGCUAAUACCGGAUAGGAGCUCCUGCUGCAUGGUGGGGGUUGGAAAGUUUCGGCGGUUGGGGAUGGACUCGAGGCUUAUCAGCUUGUUGGUGGGGUAGUGGAUUACCAAGGCUUUGACGGGUAGGCGGCCUGAGAGGGUGACCGGCGACCAUGGUCCUGAGGUAGGGCGCAGACUGCUAUGGGCGGCAGUAGGGGGGAAUAUUGCACAACGGGCGCAAGCCUGAUGCAGCAACGCCGCGUGCGGGAUGACGUGCUACGGGUUGUAAACCGCUUUCGCCGGUGACGAAGCGUGAGUGACGGUAAUGGGUAAAGAAGCACCGGCUAACUACGUG
rnacentral:rRNA from 1 species